rnacentral:misc_RNA from 1 species
CUGAGUUCGGGGGCAAUCCCAGUCCCGACCUCCAACCCUUUGUGAAUAUAUCUUGUUGCUUCGGGGGCGACCCUGCCGUUCGCGGCAUUCCCUCCGGAGGUCAUCAAAACACUGCAUUAUUACGUCGGAGUAAAAAGUUAAUUUAAUA